rnacentral:rRNA from 1 species
UACGUAGGGUGCAAGCGUUGUCCGGAAUUAUUGGGCGUAAAGAGCUCGUAGGUGGUCUGUCGCGUCGGCUGUGAAAUCCCGAGGCUCAACCUCGGGUCUGCAGUCGAUACGGGCAAACUAGAGUAUUGCAGGGGAGACUGGAAUUCCUGGUGUAGCGGUGAAAUGCGCAGAUAUCAGGAGGAACACCGGUGGCGAAGGCGGUUCUCUGGGCAUUACCUGACGCUGAGGAGCGAAAGUGUGGGGAGCGAACAGG